rnacentral:rRNA from 1 species
GGAGGAAGGUGGGGAUGACGUCAAGUCAUCAUGGCCCUUACGGCCUGGGCUACACACGUGCUACAAUGGUCGGUACAAAGGGUUGCCAAGCCGCGAGGUGGAGCUAAUCCCAUAAAACCGAUCGUAGUCCGGAUCGCAGUCUGCAACUCGACUGCGUGAAGUCGGAAUCGCUAGUAAUCGUGAAUCAGAAUGUCACGGUGAAUACGUUCCCGGGCCUU